CUGGUAUAUAAUUUCAGUAAACUCGUACCAUCUCACAAUACUCUCUUUUCGACAUGGAAGAAAGAGGCUACCAACACUUACAGUGGCAACACAAAGAUGAUUAUCUUAGGCAUGAUCAAGCUCUCCCAAGACCAAGUGCCCCUCCUGCACCUCUUCCAUUGACAGGUUUUGGGACCCUGGAGAGCAAUCCACAGCCGCCAGUUGCAAGGGAGAAUGCUCCACUGCUACCAGACACUCCUGAAGUGAAUGCAGAAACGGAAGUAUUCAGUCUAGAGAAGUUUGUGUUUUUAUGGCUCGGAAUUGGUCAUAAAUAUUCUGGACUGUGCCUUGUGGUGUAUUUGCUCAUAUAUGUCGGGGGAAUUACCUUAAUUCUUACAGCAGUAUUGAUUUUUGCUGUCACUCCUCCGGGAUAUUAUGGUUGUAAUCCUCAACAAGCUGAUUUUUUAUGCAUUCUUUCUGGAGUCUUGUUCCUUUUGAUUGGAAGUUGCUGGCCAAUUGCUUACUGCUGGAAAAGAAGGCCGAGUCGCAACUUCACAAUGCUGGGCUGCUACUUGUGGCUUUUAUCUGUAUUGAUUGUGUCCUGUUUGGCAGCAUUGGGCGCAACAAUGGUAGCUGCUAACUGCUCUGAUCCUCUUUCAUUGAUUGUUGUUAUUACUAUGGGAGCUGUUGUUGUGACGUUUUUGUGCUCUAGUGUUUGUUGUUUGUGUUUUUUUAGCAGAAAAAUUGGUAGAAUUUGUUAGGUUUAGAUCUAAUACAAACACUGACUGUGAUGAUGAAUAUAGUUUUUGUUGAAUUAUGGAUCAAUUAAGUGCCAUUCUCAACUGAGUUUCAUUGGCACAUGGAG